ensembl:lincRNA
AGAGAGAGGUGAUUUCUUAUAUUUCUCCCCUCCCUUGGGACACUGGUGGUCUAGUCCAUUCCACAGACUUUCGCUCCUUUGCAGCAGGUCGGAGAUCGGAGGAUUGAGCCAAUUGCGGAUGAAACGUCUUUGGAAGGAAGACGGUGGUGAGGGAGCAUCCCUUUGAGUUCCGCCUCUUUUCGAGGCGGUGGUGGGGAAGGGGGACAUAAGAAAUACUGUCUUCUUAAACCAACGGAUCAUACACCUCCGUGCAAACUGCGGGGAGGGCGGCGGGAAAACGGCAAGACGGCUGUAAGGAAAGGGAAGGAGCCAGGAAGCUGCGCAGGAGGGCGCGCGAGCGCGCCCCUUUUUCAGCAGUGUGGCGGGGUCGCACGCUCGCCCGCCUCGGCGGCUGGGCGCGAUUUGCGACAGUGGGGGGAGUGGUGGAGGUGGCGGCGGCAGUGGCAGCUUUGCGGCAAGCUCGGGACGAGCUUGCUUGACGGCGGUGUGGCGGAGGCCCCGCCCGAGGCGGCAGGAACCUGGAGGGAGGCGGAGGAAUAUGUCCGAGAGGGAAGUGUCCACAGCGCCGGCGGGAACAGACAUGCCUGCGGCCAAGAAGCAGAAGCUGAGCAGCGACGAGAACAGCAACCCAGACCUCUCUGGAGACGAGAAUGAUGAUGCUGUCAGUAUAGAAAGUGGGACAAACACCGAACGCCCUGAUACACCUACAAAUACUCCAAAUGCACCUGGAAGGAAAAGUUGGGGAAAGGGAAAAUGGAAAUCAAAGAAGUGCAAAUAUUCUUUUAAAUGUGUAAACAGUCUCAAGGAAGAUCAUAACCAACCAUUGUUUGGAGUACAGUUUAACUGGCACAGUAAAGAAGGAGAUCCGUUAGUAUUUGCAACUGUAGGAAGCAA